rnacentral:rRNA from 1 species
GACGAACGCUGGCGGCGUGCUUAACACAUGCAAGUCGAGCGGUAAGGCCCUUUCGGGGGUACGACGAGCGGCGAACGGGUGAGUAACACGUGGGUGACCUGCCCUCCAGCUCUGGGAUAAGCCUGGGAAACCGGGUCUAAUACCGGAUAUGACUCCAUGACGCAUGUUGUGGGGUGGAAAGCCUUGUGCGGCUGAGGAUGGGCCCGCGGCCUAUCAGCUUGUUGGUGGGGUGAUGGCCUACCAAGGCGACGACGGGUAGCCGGCCUGAGAGGGCGACCGG